rnacentral:rRNA from 1 species
AAUCAACGCUGGCGGCGCGCUUAACACAUGCAAGUCGAACGAGAAAGUCCGCAAGGAUGAGUACAGUGGCGUACGGGUGAGUAACACGUGGAUCAUCUACCUUUUAGUGGGAAUACCGUGGGAAACCGCCGACAAUACCGCAUAAGCCCGAGAGGGAAAGCAGCAAUGCGCUGAAAGAGGAGUCCGCGGUCGAUUAGCUAGUUGGUGAGGUAAAGGCUCACCAAGGCUGUGAUCGAUAGCCGGCCUGAGAGGGCACACGGCCACACUGGCACUGAAACACGGGCCAGACUCCUACGGGAGGCAGCAGUGGGGAAUCUUGCACAAAUGGGGGGC